rnacentral:lncRNA from 1 species
AAUACUGUCAGGUCUGUUGAUUCUUACUGUGCAUGUCUCUCUUUACAGUAAAGAUCCCCCUGUGGAAUACUUCUCUAAUGGAGUCUUAGUGGCGUCUCCACUUUCUUAUCUGGAGGUUAAUGUAAAGAAGUUUCGGCAUGCAACUGAGAACCUCAUACUGAAGCUGAUUGGAGCAUACCAGGAGGAGAAGCUGGUCAUGGGUACUGAGCUGGCCUCCAAAAAUGCACAGCCACUCGGGUUCUACAUCAACAGGAAUCUGGAGACAGAGCUCAAGGUCCAUCUCAGUAAUAAUACAGUACGUAUCAACAUGCCCCAAGGCACUGUUCAUUAAAAGUUUAA